AUUUUCUGGUCCCCGGAAAACAGCCUGCUCUUGGCGUGUUUCUAUUGUGCAUCAUCUAUGUUUGGCCUUGACCCUCCUGUGUUCUGCACUGUGAGCAGAAUAUCAAGUGGGCUGGAGAAGCGAGCCAGGCACUGCCAGCCCAGUGUGUGCAUUGUCAGGGGGAAUAUCAUGCUACGUGCACAGAAAAUAACUUCCUUUUCUCAUUUUAUAAAUUAGCUCAGCGAUCCCUGAGAUUAUGAGCCUUUAUUCCCAUAGACAGUGCUUUAAAGGGGAAAAAGAAACAAUAACAAUGGAAUCAGAAUACAGUUCUCUGGGCAGUUCCAAUCAGGAAGCGUGGGUAGGAAUACGGUCUAGAGAUUCUUACAGCACCCAAAAGCUCUCCAUCAUCACUGAUCCCACUUUCUCUCCUAGCCUCACCCCUACUUCGGCUGCUUUAUCACAAAAAAGCUCUGAUGAAAGGCUUGUGAUCUCAGCUGGGGCUGCCGGGCUGGGGAGAAGAAAAGGGGUCCUCUUUCUAGAGGAGAAAGGUCGUGCAAAAUGCUGGAUUCCUGUGUCUGGGAGGCAGCCGACCAGCCUUUUCAGAUACAGGUUUGUCCUCUGUCAUAGAAUUUGUCAUAGAAGCAGUGACAAUUUUGUCAUAGAAGCAGUGAUAAUCAGAGCGAGGAAUGUAUAAAUCAUCUGGACCUCCCCCUACAGAUGAGGAAACUGAGACCCAGAGAAGGUAAGUGACUGGGCCAAGGUCCUCACUCAGCUGACGAGGGGCUGGCCUGGGACCUCCGUGAGCCUGACUGCACUUCUCAAAGCAGAAGGGUUCCCAGGGGAGAAAAAGGCAUCUCUUUCCCAUCUCAUUUUAUUCCAAAGUACAAAACCCAUUCCUAUUUUUUCUUAAUCUACUUGUAAACUCUAAUGACUAGUUCUAGUGUUAAAUACUUCACAUAAUUUACUUAAUUAGCUAAUUGCUAACAAUGUGAAGUCAUUUUCUUUGACCUUUUAUAAUCCCCGUUCCUCCCACAGAAAACAAGGUCCUAUCAUCAGUGUUUUGGUGACAUUGGCGUAAAAAGUGAAUGGUUUGACAUAAAAGCAGAGUCUAGUUCUGGAAUGUCUGGCUUUCCUCCACUAAACACCCGGAGUAUUUGAAGGUUCAGAAAAGUAAGAAGAAGGAAGGCUGCCUCGAUUCCCUCCCUCUGAGUUUGCUACUUUUCCACCAUGGAAUCAUCAUGGUAUCACAAUAGGACUGUUGGAAAUGGCCCUGACCGGGGAGUCCUUCGGGAUCUCCUCCUCAGGAAGCCUCAUGUACUCUGGUUCGGAGACGCUCAAGCCCGAGCCAACCUCGCAAGCCCAGUUGACCUAAUUCAGUCUUCUGACCAGUGGAAUGGCAUCCAGCAUCACGUCCAGCUUUAAAAGCUUUCAGAAAAGAGACCUCCAGAGCUCCCAGACCUAUCACUGCGCAAGGUACCCUGGACAUUAAAUUAUUGGAAAUCCGACAGUUUAACACAGUCUCCGGGUCAUCUGUUUGCUGGGGAGAAGGCAGUCGAAUAUGGGUGUGAUGUAUGCCGAGACUGAGACAAAUGUCUUCCUUUAGGCAUCAAAACUAGGCAUCUGGGCUUUGUGGAGGGAUCUGCGGUGGCUCCCUGGGCUGGUGAAGGGCCGAAUCUUUGGCGCCUGAAGCCUGACUGGUCCCAGCCUCCACACCUCUGCACAGAGCGGUCCUCACAGUGAGCUGCUGAGCUGACAGCUGUCUCUUUCGGAGCCCUUUGGGUCUGCCGCCCCAUGCUGUCCCCUUGAGAGAGAAGCAUGGUGCUGUAUUGAGUGCAAUGCCCAUCACCCUGUAAUCUGGCUGUAUGAGUCCGAGUUCAGUCAAGGAAAGAGAGCAACCAUGUGUUCCACACGCCGUGACGUGACAAUAUAUCGUGAUCCUCAGGCAAACUCUGUGAAUGAGCAUGUACCUUUUCUUCAUGGAUUUAUGAAGACUGCCUUUUCUAAGCCCCUGGCAAGCCCUCAAGGGUGUGCUGAAGGCCAUUGGGGAUGGAGGCAGAAUGAUGGGGGAAACGGAGGACCGCCGUGGCUGGGUUGCUUUCGUCUGUGGGUACCCUGGAGCUUGGUGGGCAGUGAAUGGGUGCCUCUGGCUUGUGUUCCAGCAGCUCCCGUGAGAGGUGAGCUGUGGCAAACACGGGAAGAAGGGUAUGUCUGCAUCCCCCCUGGUAUCAUGUGGUCCAACGCCAUGCCCACCAAACACAAAAGCAAGCAGCCGUGGAAUCUUGACUGGGUUCGUGUGAUCUGUGGAGACGGUCAAACUGUGUGAUUAUAGUUCCCAAUUAGACUUUUGUUUUGGACCCAAGGAUAAUUUAGAUUUCCUGUUAUACGCGAUGAGGAGUCCAUGCAGAUUUGUAGGAGGGGUUGAUAUGAUUUGAUUUAUAUUUAGAACACAAGUAGUGAGCCAGUUAGGAUUCGGCCAGGAGACUAAAGGCUCAUAGCAAUUUGAACAGGGAAAAUUUAAUACUGCAUACAAAUUAUUAGCUAGUUAAAGGGUAUUACCUCCUAAGACAUGUAAAGAGAGCUAUCAAGAGUACAGGAAUAAGAUGUAGGGAGCAGUCAUUUCUUACAGGGCCAAGGGAGCAUGCAUGCUAGGAACAGACUUGGAGGAGGCAUCCCUCCCCACUGCCAAGGCUGAAAUUCAUCUAGUGUGGACCAGGGAAAGGCAGAGAAGUUCACGGAGGUGAUGCAGGCUGGGCCAGCGAGCAGAAGCCACCUGCGGGAGUGGGGACGGAACUCGUGGGAGGGUUUGCUUCGCAGACCUCCAGUACACCACUGGCAAAGGAGUGGCCCGUAGGGAAGAAAGCUACGUGCAGUGCUUGGUAGGAAGAAACACUCUGGAACCAGGAAGGCAAGACUCUUGUCUUGCAGUCUCCCUCUAGCGCCCUCUACUGACAAGGCUGGCACCGUGCCUCCUCGCAAAAGAGAAACAUUUACUUGGGUUCAGCUCCAGUAUCUCCAAGAAGGGCAGGGAAGGGUGUAUUUGGAGCUUAGAGACAAUAAAUCUGCAGGUGUUCAGGUAGUGAAGUAAAGGUGGACUUGAAGAGAGGAGAGUCUGGAGGCUAUAGUUAGGCGGGGUGGGGGAAAGGAAGAUGAAGUGGACAGACUGACGCUCUGCCCUUGAUCCUGAGACAGAGCUUGAGACAGUGUGGGUGGCAGGGAGGAAGAUUAGACUGGUACGGAGGGGGCUGAAUAGGUAGGACUCUGUGGCUGAUGAGAUGCAGUUCGUGACAGGGAAGGCUCACGGGUGUGCCCCGUCUUGGUGGCCUUCAUAGCUGGAAAGAAGAACAGGCUUGGGCUUAGGGGAAGAGAAUAAAUUCUGUUUUGGACAUGACUGUUUAUGGCACCUCUAGAAUAUCUUGACAAGAUUCAGAAUACCCUGGAAAAAGCACAGUGGAUUGAAAUGUGGGGGUAUGGGUUUCCACUAUUGCUACACAACUCCCACGCAAAGAGAAGGAAUCACAAAUUUCCACCUUAAGAAGAAUUCAAUAAAACUCUCUUUCAGAAAUCAACUUUCCUCAAACCCAGAGAAGUCUUACAAAAUUUCAGUUAGAGCUUGGAGCUGUUUUACUUUUUCUUCAAAACAUCCUGAAGCUUUAAUUUAGACGAAGGGUGAGAAUUAAAGUUGUGUGUGUAUGUGUGUGUGUGUUUCUGUGUGUGUGUUUAUUUCUGUGUUUUUGUGGUUGUUUUACACAGAAAGAAUUGGUUUUGUAUGUAUGUCAUUUCCAAAUGAGGGAGGUCUCAGUAUUAAGCAGUCUAGGAGAUGUUAAUAUUUUACUAUUGUAACAACUUAGUGUGGGUCACAAGUUGGUUAGACACACUUGCAUAAACGCAAAGAAGGAGGUGAAGUUAAUGGGUUGGGAAGACAAAUGUAUAUACUUCAACCCCCGCCCCCAGCAUUCAUUUCUGGUGCCACACAUCAUGGCUUUUAGUUGUAUUCUGCAUCUAGUUAUUUCCCACGCCUGAGUCCUGCUUCCUUUUCUGUGCUGAGUUUCCAGAGGGCAGGAAAGAUACCACAUGCUAUUUAUUCUUCACAGUUCAACAAUAGGUUCUCAAUAAAGACUUCAUUUUUAUUGUUCA